rnacentral:rRNA from 1 species
GAUGAACGCUGGCGGCGUGCUUAACACAUGCAAGUCGAACGGAAAGGCCACAGCUUGCUGUGGUACUCGAGUGGCGAACGGGUGAGUAACACGUGGGUGAUCUGCCCUGUACUUCGGGAUAAGCUUGGGAAACUGGGUCUAAUACCGGAUAGGAAUCACAUGUGGGUGUGUGGUUGGAAAGCUUUUGCGUUAUGGGAUGGGCUCGCGGCCUAUCCGCUUGUUGGUGGGGUAAUGGCCUACCAAGGCGUCGACGGGUAGCCGGCCUGAGAGGGUGUACGGCCACAUUGGGACUGAGAGACGGCACAGACUCCUACGGGAGGCAGCAGUGGGGAAUAUUGCACAAUGGGAGCAAGCCUGAUGCAGCGACGCCGCGUGGGGGAUGACGGCCUUCGGGUUGUAAACUCCUUUCGUCAGGGACGAAGCGAAAGUGACGGUACCUGGAGAAGAAGCACCGGCUAACUACGUG